rnacentral:rRNA from 1 species
CCUACGGUGCGCAGCAGUGGGGAAUAUUGGACAAUGGGCGAAAGCCUGAUCCAGCCAUGCCGCGUGUGUGAAGAAGGCCUUCGGGUUGUAAAGCACUUUCAGUGGGGAAGAAAGCCUUGGGGCUAAUACCCUCGAGGAAGGACAUCACCCACAGAAGAAGCACCGGCUAACUCCGUGCCAGCAGCCGCGGUAAUACGGAGGGUGCGAGCGUUAAUCGGAAUUACUGGGCGUAAAGCGCGCGUAGGCGGUCUGAUAAGCCGGUUGUGAAAGCCCCGGGCUCAACCUGGGAACGGCAUCCGGAACCGUCAGGCUAGAGUGCAGGAGAGGAAGGUAGAAUUCCCGGUGUAGCGGUGAAAUGCGUAGAGAUCGGGAGGAAUACCAGUGGCGAAGGCGGCCUUCUGGACUGACACUGACGCUGAGGUGCGAAAGCGUGGGUAGCAAACAGGAUUAGAUACCCGUGUAGUC